rnacentral:rRNA from 1 species
GAUUAAUACCCCAUGGCACUAUAGAUUGGCAUCAUGAAAUAGUUAAAGAUUUAUUGGUAAAGGAUGGGCAUGCGUAUCAUUAGUUAGUUGGUAAGGUAACGGCUUACCAAGGCAUCGAUAGGUAGGGGGCCUGAGAGGGUGGCCCCCCACACUGGUACUGAGACACGGACCAGACUCCUACGGGAGGCAGCAGUGAGGAAUAUUGGUCAAUGGAGGCAACUCUGAACCAGCCAUGCCGCGUGCAGGAAGAAUGCCCUAUGGGUUGUAAACUGCUUUUAUAUAGGAAGAAACCUUUCCACGUGUGGAAAGCUGACGGUACUAUAAGAAUAAGGAUCGGCUAACUCCGUGCCAGCAGCCGCGGUAAUACGGAG